rnacentral:rRNA from 1 species
AUUGAACGCUAGCGGGAUGCCUUACACAUGCAAGUCGAACGGAGUGGCGAACGGGUGAGUAAUGUAUCGGAACGUGCCCACUUGCGGGGGAUAACUACGCGCAAGCGUAGCUAAUACCUCACACUAUUGGUGCGGCCGGUAUCGGAUUAGCUAGGUGGUGGGGUAACGGCUCACCAAGGCGACGAUCCGUAGCUGGUUUGAGAGGACGAACAGCCACACUGGAACUGAUACACGGCCCAGACUCCUACGGGAGGCAGCAGUGGGGAAUUUUGGACAAUGGGGGAAACCCUGAUCCAGCCAUGCCGCGUGUGCGAUGAAGGCCUUCGGGUUGUAAAGCACUUUUGGCAGGAAAGCGGUACCUGCAGAAUAAGCACCGGCUAACUACGUGCCAGCAGCCGCGGUAAUAC